UUAAGCGACUAAGCGUACACGGUGGAUGCCCUGGCAGUCAGAGGCGAUGAAGGACGUGCUAAUCUGCGAUAAGCGUCGGUGAGGUGAUAUGAACCGUUAUAACCGGCGAUUUCCGAAUGGGGAAACCCAGUGUGUUUCGACACACUAUCAUUAACUGAAUCCAUAGGUUAAUGAGGCGAACCGGGGGAACUGAAACAUCUAAGUACCCCGAGGAAAAGAAAUCAACCGAGAUUCCCCCAGUAGCGGCGAGCGAACGGGGAGGAGCCCAGAGCCUGAAUCAGUGUGUGUGUUAGUGGAAGCGUCUGGAAAGGCGCGCGAUACAGGGUGACAGCCCCGUACACAAAAAUGCACAUGCUGUGAGCUCGAUGAGUAGGGCGGGACACGUGGUAUCCUGUCUGAAUAUGGGGGGACCAUCCUCCAAGGCUAAAUACUCCUGACUGACCGAUAGUGAACCAGUACCGUGAGGGAAAGGCGAAAAGAACCCCGGCGAGGGGAGUGAAAAAGAACCUGAAACCGUGUACGUACAAGCAGUGGGAGCCUCUUAAUGGGGUGACUGCGUACCUUUUGUAUAAUGGGUCAGCGACUUAUAUUCUGUAGCAAGGUUAACCGAAUAGGGGAGCCGAAGGGAAACCGAGUCUUAACUGGGCGUUAAGUUGCAGGGUAUAGACCCGAAACCCGGUGAUCUAGCCAUGGGCAGGUUGAAGGUUGGGUAACACUAACUGGAGGACCGAACCGACUAAUGUUGAAAAAUUAGCGGAUGACUUGUGGCUGGGGGUGAAAGGCCAAUCAAACCGGGAGAUAGCUGGUUCUCCCCGAAAGCUAUUUAGGUAGCGCCUCGUGAAUUCAUCUCCGGGGGUAGAGCACUGUUUCGGCAAGGGGGUCAUCCCGACUUACCAACCCGAUGCAAACUGCGAAUACCGGAGAAUGUUAUCACGGGAGACACACGGCGGGUGCUAACGUCCGUCGUGAAGAGGGAAACAACCCAGACCGCCAGCUAAGGUCCCAAAGUCAUGGUUAAGUGGGAAACGAUGUGGGAAGGCCCAGACAGCCAGGAUGUUGGCUUAGAAGCAGCCAUCAUUUAAAGAAAGCGUAAUAGCUCACUGGUCGAGUCGGCCUGCGCGGAAGAUGUAACGGGGCUAAACCAUGCACCGAAGCUGCGGCAGCGACACUAUGUGUUGUUGGGUAGGGGAGCGUUCUGUAAGCCUGUGAAGGUGGCCUGUGAGGGUUGCUGGAGGUAUCAGAAGUGCGAAUGCUGACAUAAGUAACGAUAAAGCGGGUGAAAAGCCCGCUCGCCGGAAGACCAAGGGUUCCUGUCCAACGUUAAUCGGGGCAGGGUGAGUCGACCCCUAAGGCGAGGCCGAAAGGCGUAGUCGAUGGGAAACAGGUUAAUAUUCCUGUACUUGGUGUUACUGCGAAGGGGGGACGGAGAAGGCUAUGUUGGCCGGGCGACGGUUGUCCCGGUUUAAGCGUGUAGGCUGGUUUUCCAGGCAAAUCCGGAAAACCAAGGCUGAGGCGUGAUGACGAGGCACUACGGUGCUGAAGUGACAAAUGCCCUGCUUCCAGGAAAAGCCUCUAAGCAUCAGGUAACAUCAAAUCGUACCCCAAACCGACACAGGUGGUCAGGUAGAGAAUACCAAGGCGCUUGAGAGAACUCGGGUGAAGGAACUAGGCAAAAUGGUGCCGUAACUUCGGGAGAAGGCACGCUGAUAUGUAGGUGAAGCGACUUGCUCGUGGAGCUGAAAUCAGUCGAAGAUACCAGCUGGCUGCAACUGUUUAUUAAAAACACAGCACUGUGCAAACACGAAAGUGGACGUAUACGGUGUGACGCCUGCCCGGUGCCGGAAGGUUAAUUGAUGGGGUUAGCGGUAACGCGAAGCUCUUGAUCGAAGCCCCGGUAAACGGCGGCCGUAACUAUAACGGUCCUAAGGUAGCGAAAUUCCUUGUCGGGUAAGUUCCGACCUGCACGAAUGGCGUAAUGAUGGCCAGGCUGUCUCCACCCGAGACUCAGUGAAAUUGAACUCGCUGUGAAGAUGCAGUGUACCCGCGGCAAGACGGAAAGACCCCGUGAACCUUUACUAUAGCUUGACACUGAACAUUGAGCCUUGAUGUGUAGGAUAGGUGGGAGGCUUUGAAGUGUGGACGCCAGUCUGCAUGGAGCCGACCUUGAAAUACCACCCUUUAAUGUUUGAUGUUCUAACGUUGGCCCGUAAUCCGGGUUGCGGACAGUGUCUGGUGGGUAGUUUGACUGGGGCGGUCUCCUCCUAAAGAGUAACGGAGGAGCACGAAGGUUGGCUAAUCCUGGUCGGACAUCAGGAGGUUAGUGCAAUGGCAUAAGCCAGCUUGACUGCGAGCGUGACGGCGCGAGCAGGUGCGAAAGCAGGUCAUAGUGAUCCGGUGGUUCUGAAUGGAAGGGCCAUCGCUCAACGGAUAAAAGGUACUCCGGGGAUAACAGGCUGAUACCGCCCAAGAGUUCAUAUCGACGGCGGUGUUUGGCACCUCGAUGUCGGCUCAUCACAUCCUGGGGCUGAAGUAGGUCCCAAGGGUAUGGCUGUUCGCCAUUUAAAGUGGUACGCGAGCUGGGUUUAGAACGUCGUGAGACAGUUCGGUCCCUAUCUGCCGUGGGCGCUGGAGAACUGAGGGGGGCUGCUCCUAGUACGAGAGGACCGGAGUGGACGCAUCACUGGUGUUCGGGUUGUCAUGCCAAUGGCACUGCCCGGUAGCUAAAUGCGGAAGAGAUAAGUGCUGAAAGCAUCUAAGCACGAAACUUGCCCCGAGAUGAGUUCUCCCUGAGACUUAGAGUCUCCUGAAGGAACGUUGAAGACGACGACGUUGAUAGGCCGGGUGUGUAAGCGCAGCGAUGCGUUGAGCUAACCGGUACUAAUGAACCGUGAGGCUUAACCUU
rnacentral:rRNA from 1 species